rnacentral:tRNA from 1 species
UGUUAUAUAGUUUAAUAAAACAUUAAUUUUGUAAAUUAAAAUUUAAUUUAAAUAAUUAUAUGACUA